GUCUCCAGCCAUGCUAUCCUGAACAAGCCCGAUCUCAUCUGAUCUCGGAAGCUAAGCAGGGUAGGGCCUGGUUAGGACUUGGAUGGGAGAUCACCUAGGAAGACCAGGUGCUGUAGAUG
rnacentral:rRNA from 1 species